UACGUAGGUGGCAAGCGUUAUCCGGAAUUACUGGGCGUAAAACGCACGCAGGCGGCGCAGCAAGUUCGACGUGAAAGCUCCCGGCUUAACUGGGAGAGGUCGUUGAAGACUGCUGUGCUUGAGGCAAUGAGAGGGGUGUAGAAUUCCCGGUGUAGUGGUGGAAUGCGUAGAUAUCGGGGGGAAUACCAGUGGCGAAAGCGGCACCCUAGCAUUAGCCUGACGCUCAUGUGCGAAAGCGUGGGGAGCAAACAGG
rnacentral:rRNA from 1 species